rnacentral:rRNA from 1 species
ACAGUGGACGCGAGCAUCUUUGAAUGAUCUUUGUGGUCAAGUUUAUAAGUGCACAGGGUGGAUGCCUUGGCACCAGGAGCCGAAGAAGGACGUAGUAGCCUGCGAUAAGCCUCGGGGAGUUGGCAAACGAACCGUGAUCCGAGGAUUUCCGAAUGGGGAAACCCCGCCACAGUCAUGUGUGGUGACCCUCACCUGAAUAUAUAGGGUGAGUGGAGGGAACGCCGGGAAGUGAAACAUCUCAGUACCGGCAGGAAGAGAUAUUCCGUGAGUAGUGGCGAGCGAAAGCGGAUCAGGCCAAACCGUGCGCGUGUGAUAGCCGGCAGGCGUUGCGCGUACGGGGUUGUGGGACCUUUCCGUUGCUUCUGCCGAAGCAGCAGGGAGUUAUAAAGUCGCGUCAUAGUCGAAGGGCAUUGAAAGGCCCGGCACAGAGGGUGUUACCCCCGUAGACGAAAUGGCGUGGCCUCCCGAAGGGGAUCCCAAGUAGCUCCGGGCCCGAGAAACCCGGAGUGAAUCUG